rnacentral:rRNA from 1 species
UGCGACAGGCUUAACACAUGCAAGUCGAGGGGCAGCGGGGGUAGCGAUACCCGCCGGCGACCGGCGCACGGGUGAGUAACGCGUAUGCAACUUGCCUAUCAGAGGGGGAUAACCCGGCGAAAGUCGGACUAAUACCGCAUGAAGCAGGGGCCCCGCAUGGGGAUAUUUGCUAAAGAUUCAUCGCUGAUAGAUAGGCAUGCGUUCCAUUAGGCAGUUGGCGGGGUAACGGCCCACCAAACCGACGAUGGAUAGGGGUUCUGAGAGGAAGGUCCCCCACAUUGGUACUGAGACACGGACCAAACUCCUACGGGAGGCAGCAGUGAGGAAUAUUGGUCAAUGGCCGAGAGGCUGAACCAGCCAAGUCGCGUGAGGGAUGAAGGUUCUAUGGAUCGUAAACCUCUUUUAUAAGGGAAUAAAGUGCGGGACGUGUCCCGUUUUGUAUGUACCUUAUGAAUAAGGAUCGGCUAACUCCGUGCCAGCAGCCGCGGUAAUACGGAGGAUCCGAGCGUUAUCCGGAUUUAUUGGGUUUAAAGGGUGCGUAGGCGGCCUUUUAAGUCAGCGGUGAAAGUCUGUGGCUCAACCAUAGAAUUGCCGUUGAAACUGGGGGGCUUGAGUAUGUUUGAGGCAGGCGGAAUGCGUGGUGUAGCGGUGAAAUGCAUAGAUAUCACGCAGAACCCCGAUUGCGAAGGCAGCCUGCCAAGCCAUUACUGACGCUGAUGCGCGAAAGCGUGGGGAUCAAACAGGAUUAGAUACCCUGGUAGUCCACGCAGUAAACGAUGAUCACUAGCUGUUUGCGAUACACUGUAAGCGGCACAGCGAAAGCGUUAAGUGAUCCACCUGGGGAGUACGCCGGCAACGGUGAAACUCAAAGGAAUUGACGGGGGCCCGCACAAGCGGAGGAACAUGUGGUUUAAUUCGAUGAUACGCGAGGAACCUUACCCGGGUUUGAACGCAUUCGGACCGAGGUGGAAACACCUUUUCUAGCAAUAGCCGUUUGCGAGGUGCUGCAUGGUUGUCGUCAGCUCGUGCCGUGAGGUGUCGGCUUAAGUGCCAUAACGAGCGCAACCCUUGCCACUAGUUACUAACAGGUAAAGCUGAGGACUCUGGUGGGACUGCCAGCGUAAGCUGCGAGGAAGGCGGGGAUGACGUCAAAUCAGCACGGCCCUUACAUCCGGGGCGACACACGUGUUACAAUGGCGUGGACAAAGGGAGGCCACCUGGCGACAGGGAGCGAAUCCCCAAACCACGUCUCAGUUCGGAUCGGAGUCUGCAACCCGACUCCGUGAAGCUGGAUUCGCUAGUAAUCGCGCAUCAGCCAUGGCGCGGUGAAUACGUUCCCGGGCCUUGUACACACCGCCCGUCAAGCCAUGGGAGCCGGGGGUACCUGAAGUCCGUAACCGAAAGGAUCGGCCUAGGGUAAAACUGGUAAUUGGGGCUAAGA